CAGUAGCCGCGGGAAUACGGAGGGGGCUAGCGUUGUUCGGAAUUACUGGGCGUAAAGCGCACGUAGGCGGCUUGGUAAGUUAGAGGUGAAAGCCUGGAGCUCAACUCCAGAAUUGCCUUUAAGACUGCCGAGCUAGCAGGUGAGAGAGGUAAGUGGAAUUCCGAGUGUAGAGGUGAAAUUCGUAGAUAUUCGGAAGAACACCAGUGGUGAAGGCGGCUUACUGGCUCAUACUGAACGCUGAGGUGCGAAAGCGUGGGGAGCAAACAGGAUUAGAUACCCCCGUAGUCCCUGUCUCUUAUAC
rnacentral:rRNA from 1 species